CAGGGAGAUUUGAGUCCAUUAUGAACAGAGCAUUUUUAAUCUCCUGGGGAAAAGGAAGCUGAGCCAGACCAGCCAUUCUGAAUUACCCGACAAGCAUUAUCCCCCUAGUUAGUGCUUGCAACUGAGGAGCAGCAGAUCUGGAGUUCUCAUCAAGCCCUGCCGUUGUCUUUAAGAUGCUGCUUAAUUUUGAUGCUUGCAUACCCCUUUGGGGACCAAGAGGCUGAAUUAAUUAACAUUUAAUGUACCUUGAGAUCUUGAACUGGAAGGAACUGUAAAAAUACAAAAUAUUAAUAUAUUGCAACAGUUCUAGGCUAAGCCCAAGGAGAUGUUUCAUAGCACACAGGACCAGUGCACAUGAACUCACACUCAGGUGUGCAAACGCGUGUAGGCAUCUAAGUUUGGGGGAGUUGUUUCUGUAACCAGGCUUUCUGUUUCAGCUUCACAUCUGCAGACUGGCCUAAUAGUAUUUCCUAAUAGACUGGGAGGUAUGUAGAUAUUGCACUGAAAAGUGUCACGGUAAUAAAAAUCUUCAGUCUCUAAGGUAGGUAGAUAAAUAAGGGGUUGGAAACUGCAUUGCACCAAACCUGGCCAACUGCAGCCCAGCCAGUAAAAAAAUAUUAUGAAGGUAAAGGGGGAGGCAAAGGAAAAGGGGAGAGGAAAUGGGAUACGAAGUGUGAUCAAAGAAGAACGAACUGAAAGCGGGGUAAAUGUGUCAAAUAAAUAGUGAUAAUGAAAUCCUAACGAAAAGCCUUCUGACAUUUGUUCUAACCUAUAGUUCGCUUUCUCUCCCGCCUCCGUUCUGUGUCUCGUAGGUUUUGUUAGCUAUGACAAUCCAGUCUCUGCACAAGCUGCUAUCCAGGCUAUGAACGGCUUUCAGAUUGGCAUGAAACGCUUGAAGGUUCAGCUGAAACGCUCCAAAAAUGACAGCAAACCUUACUGAUCUUAACCCCAGAUGCUUACUGCUCUUAUUUUAGCUUUCUUAGGACAUCUCCAUGCCCGUUAGCCCAUCGUUUGCCUAGCAUGUCCCUGUGGCGUCUCAAAAAAAAAAAAGUUUCAUCGUCCCGUCAUUGUUUCUGAUGUCUUUCUGACCUCACAUCAUAUUUGGUUCUCCUACUGACCUUUGAUCUAGUUUGACCUUUGAAAUUUGCAUGUGACCUCAUCUAGCUAUGAAUUCUGGGAAGUCAAUGUGAAAAAACAUUGCUGCAUUCAUGCAAGACUGAAAUUUAUUAUUAGAUAAAUUAAUGAUAGGAUUUAAAAACAACCUGUGGCAAAAUGUUUUUUCUUUCUUUCCUUUUUUUUCGGUUUUCUUUUUUCCUUUGGGUUCUUUUUUUUUUGUUUGGAUUUUUUGUUUUGUUUGGUUUGGUUGAUUUUUUUUUUUUCAUUUCGUAAAAAAAAAAAUAAAAAAAAAAAACAGACUUGAAAGUAUUAUACAGGGAUUGGCAUUCUGCCUGGUCACUGGUGACAAUAGCAAUAUGUGUCCAGAGGCACAGAAUGUUGGUUUCUAACAGACUACUUCCAAAACAGUUUGAGAAAUAAAACUGUCUGAUUUUAAGUCUCUAGAGGUCUGUAAUAGUUUUUACAUUUUUCAGGCAGUGUAAAGUUUUUUGAUAAGGCCAUUUUAGGUGGCUCACUUUCUCAUUAAAGUAUAUAUAUAGAACCACUUUUUGUAGAUUAGUAUAAGAAAAUAUUUACCCUGUUUUAGGGCAAAUGCUACCUACUUGUGUCACCUUUUGCUGAACUGACUCACAGUUAGACAAUCCAUGGUUUAAUGCACAUGAAAUUACCUAUAUUUUAUACUGUUUCAAUGUACAGAAGAAAGGUUACUGUAAAAUGUGUUACGUUGGUGCUUCUGUGAAUUAAGUUGUGGUUUCAUCAUGAGUCUUAUGGUCUUAAGUGUUCUAUGUUUAUAAAAGGCGAGUUUAAAAUUGGUUUACUUGAACAACAAGAACAAAAACAAGAUUCAAAAAAAAAAACAAAAAAAAAGACAAAAAAAAGUUGUUUGCUUAAAAAAAAUGAAUUUCAUGUGAAAAAUGAAAAAAUAUUCCAGAAUAAGUUUGUGUUGGCUUGUGACGCAUUGAUGUCAUUUUUUUAUUGUGAACAAUUUAGAUGUGUUUGUGUUCAGCAAAAUGUGAUCGGUUUUUCUUUUAAAGAAAAAAAAAAAAUCAGUGAAACUAUAGUGCCAAAUUCCAAAGGUACUUUCUUCCUAGAGCUUCAGUGUGUUUCUUGUGUGAAGUAAUUUGAUAACAUGGGUAUUUUAUUAUGUGUUUUGUAUAAAUCCCUAAUAUUUAAAGAAAAAAGAGGUUAAAAAGUUUGUUAACUUGCUAUCCUGUGGUCUUGUUGCCUGAAAUUGUUAUUGUUUGUUAUUUCUCUUUGAUGUUUUUUGUAAAACAUUGUAUAAGUGCCCAUGUUUCACUUUUUUAACCACUCUGCACACAUCAAUGCUGUGAAAGCAAACCUCACUAUGUAUUUUCUUCAUAUUGUAUGGAAACCUCUAAGGUGAGAAAGUUUUGAACUUUUAACCCUUUCCACCCAGAGCUGUCUCGAGUGUUAAUACCUUUUAUACAUUCACCAUUUUGCUGUUUAUUUUUAUAUAUAUAUCUAUAUCUAUAAAUAUAUAUAUACUUAGUUUUUUGUGGUUUAUUUAAUACAUGGUUGAAAUCAGAACAAUGCACAGGGCAGAUCUGAAGGACAAAAAUAUUUUACUGCUGUCUAAAUUUCUUCUGUAUCUAUAACUAAAAUUAUUUAAAACCGUAAUUAACUUGUGGGUUUCCUUUUUAGAUUUCGGGGAUUUUGUCUUUUCUUAAAGAGCUUUUAAUAUGCUGCUGGAAUAUGCUAUUCAGUAUUAAUAAAAUAAAAGAAAAAGAAAACAAUUCUUUAAUUAUCUAUUGUGUGAGCCACUCCCAGACAGGAGUGGUAAAUCCACCAUUUGAAAACCUUGAGGAGAAAAAAAAAAAAUAAUAAUAUUUUUGUAAUUUAAAUAAAUGAACUUUUGCUUAAAUCAGAUGCACUAGAUCUUCCUGGGUGAAAAUUCAGUGUGCACUGCAGUUAAACUACUUUUUAUGGAUAAAGUUUACAUACACUGUAAUGUUUGGUGUUAUCUGCCAUUAUUUGUAACGGCAAUAUAUUGGCUUACUCCUGCAGACACUCGUAUAGAGAGGAGUAACUUUACUCGUCCAAGUAGUCCAUGGGAAUUUAUUUGUGACCGAUGUGGGUGUUUGCUGGAGGAAGCUCUGUGUAAGGAACCAGAAAAAAGAUGCUGGUAGCCCUUUUCACUGCCUUGUAAGUCUGAUUUGAUUGCAUUUCGACCGCACAAGUAGUGGCCAACAACCAAAUUUGGUUUUUUCCUACCGUUAUAGAGAAUUCAUUGCCAAUCCAAUGCGUGCGAGCAGCAGUACCUGCUACUGAUGAUAAAGUGCCAUACCUUCUUCCACUUCCUAUUUCUAUCUGAUUAUAUUCGAAGCCGCCUAAAAUUAAAAACAAAGCCCUAUACAAACAACAUCAGCUGGUGCACUCUUGUCUCUCAUCCCCAACUUAAACGCUUCUUUAUGUAGAGCCCUGGGAUGGAAAGGACUAGCCUCUAGUGAUGCAAAAAAAAAGUUUCCUUCUUAUAGCACAUGCACUUAUAAAUAAAUGAUCUAUACUUUUCUCACAUGUUUUUACUACUGCUGGGGCCUUCCUACACCCUUUGAGGGCUAUUUUGUACUACUUGCAGCAAUUUUGCAUAUUCAAAGUAUCAUCUCACGUACGUUAUAUUAUAUAUAUGUACAUAUAUAUAUAAUAUGAGAUCAUCAUUUGGAUUGUUUAGACUGUUUCACUAAUUUUUUCUCAUUGUACCCACCGUAUAAAUCUCCAAAGCUUUUUUUUAGAUGCCCUAGUGUGUCCUGCGGGUUUACCAGUCCGGUUAGAGCGGCGAUGCCUUUGGUCCUGGGGCAGUGUAACUCGGCAUCGGGCUGCCCCGAAUUACUCUACGCAGGACAUUGGCUUAGCAGCAGGAGAGGAGGAAUGUUUCUGUACUUCCAGGCAAUUGAGACGGGUCAUGGCUGAGAAAAGUGUCCAUCUUGAAAUAAAAUUAAAAGAAAAAAAAAAAUCAAAUAAAAAACCAAAAACCCAAACAUACACCUCCUUGGAGACAAAUUAUCUACUAGUUCUCUUUCAAAAUAUUGAAAGGAAAAAGCUGCAAGGGUGCAAGGGCCUAAUAAGAGAGGAAGAAAAACAAGGGAAAUUGCUUUACAAAAUUCUAAUCAAAAGACUAGACUAGUUGUUUUUUCAAAUAAAUUAGCUAAUUGCGAUGAAAUGGCAGUCCUCAAAGGAGUAACAAGUUCAUCUUUCUUUCACCAUAGGGGUUACAGUUCCUUGGCUUGUGCUACUCUGGAAUCAUUUUACUGUUUCUGUUUUUAUUAUCUUAAGUGCUAAUUAACAAAAGGAAAAAAAAUAUCCUGUAGUUUCAUUACCUUUUUGGAUAAUGUAAUACAAAAAAAAAAAAAAAACAAACCUAUGUAUUUGUGUUUUUUUUGUGCUGUGAGAAUUGUUGUUUGUAGAUUAAUAAUACUAUCAUUUUGUUUAGAAUUACAAACUAGUUUUUAAGUAUUGUCUGAGAAAAGCCAAAGUUAAUGCAAUCUAGUGGAAGCUGUAAGACCAUUUGAGUAUUGUUUCUGUUUUAUUGAUGCAUUUGGAUUUUGUUGUUUGAUGGAAUUUGAGCCAAAAAAAAAAAAAGAACAAAAAAAAGAAAAAAAAAAAGCAGGCUUUCCUAUUUCUACAACUUGAUUGUACUUAUGCAUUUUGUACCAGUGGAACUUUUUAUACUGGAGAUUAAAAAACAAAUGGAAAUUUUUGUGGCUUACUCUCGUGGGCCCCCUCGAUCAUGACUGAUUUUCAAGUUUGAUUUCUGGAUGGUAGAAAGAGAGUUGGUUUUGUUUAGAGAAUUCAAAACUUUGGCUUGAUUUCUUUUUUUCCCUUUGCUUAUAUCUAGUGUUUAGAAUUUUGUCUUAACAAAAGCGGUAAGUUUCACUUUUUAUUCUGUAUCGUGCAGUUACACAAUAAGGUAAUUAGAAUUAGGAGUACUCGGUCACUUUGCGUGGAUAAAUGUAUUAGUUAAACCGUUAGGGGUUUGCUUUUUUGCUGUUUAGAUCAGAGUUUUUUCUGAUUCUUCUGUCCUCAUUGUGAACAUAACCGUGUAGUUGAAACAGUCAGACUUAUUUUUGUAACGUAUGUUAUUGUGUGAUGCAGUUUUUUGCUUCUGUCUCCAAUAUUAAACCAUUUUCCUAAUACUUGUCUCUCUACUUUGUGUGUUGUAUUGUUGGUGGUCAUUCUGUGUUGGUAAUACAUCUACACACCUCACUGUUUCACGUGCCUGUUUUUUUUUUUUCUCUAUUUGUUGGUUGUGUACAAAAGAUACAGUCGAUUCCACCUAAGUGAAUAUCUGAUUGGGGGGCAAAAGAGGAUUUGUACAUUUUAGACAUGUUAUGGUUUCUUUGAUUUUUUUUUUUUCUCUCUCUUCCUCCCCCUAGUCAUGCCCUAUCACUUGGAUAAUCUAUCGGAGCAGGAAACAUUUUAAAUGAGUUUCCUGCAAAGUCAUAUUGAAGGUAGCUUUUGUUAGCCUUCUAACUGCAAAAGGUUCUGCACACAAACACACAGAAGCCACCUGAAAAGACUUUUUUUUUUUGCUGUGACAUUUCAGUCAGUCUGGAAAAUGCGGAUUAUGGAGAUCAAUUCUUCCUAGUCAUUAAAAAAAUAAUAAUAAUACUCUGUUGCUACUUCGCAGAAGCAUAUGAAACAUUCAAGAAAAGGAAGAUAUAGCCUUGGGAUUUCUUCCAAAUUGCACAAUAAUCUGAUGGCAUAUGGUGUUAGUCAAACUCUCCUUAGAAACUAAUCACAUCUUAACUAGGGCUGUGAGAGCCUACCAGGUGAUCGAGCUUCUUAUGUGCAGUUAUACAUAUAAUAAUUAAAAAAUAAAAUAAAAUCCAAGUGAGCACAGGAAGACUUUCUAUUAAAUCCAGUAGAAGUUUUUAAAAAAUAAAAUAAAAAGAUAAAUAAGUGAUGGGAAAAAAAUCCCCUGUUGUUCAAAUGGGUGAUAUUUUUGCUGUGGGCUUACAAAGCAGAUCAUUCCCAGCAUUGGCUAAUAGUAUUACACAAAUCUCAAAAGGGACAAAAGAAAUACUGUAGCACUUUUUUUUAUUAUUAUUUUUUACAGUUGGCUUUUAGCUUUUUUUAUUCUUUCAUUUCCUAUAAUUUUUUCCUCCUCACAAGAAUCUCUCUGCUCUCCCCCAACCGGUGUCUACCAUGAUGAAAUAAAAGCUGCAAAAGAAAAAUCUAUGUUGUUCUGGUUUACAAGAAGUCUCUCUUCUCUGUCUGAUCACAGAUACAAACCUUACAAUUUGGAGAGGGGGAAAAAAAAAAUAAACAAAACCAACCAAACCAAACCCAAGGAGGAGAGAGCAGCACCGGCGAGUGCUCUCUGGAAUUCAAGCCAUACGCCCCCGUCCCUUUCCUUUGUCCCACUUUCUUUGAUGCUCAGGAAUCGAAGACCACUUAAAAGUGCUCUUAUGAGACCCAAACGACACUCCUCCCUCAUGUCUCCUCUCCCCUGGUCUUUCUGGCACUCUGGCUUUGGCUCACACACACAAACACACACAACCCCCUUAAGUAAUGUCCUACGAGGUCAUGGCGCACUGGGUGUUUCCGUGUUGGCUCCUGCGUUUGGAAGAGUUUUGAAAUUUUAUGGUGGCCCAUGAGUUGGCCUGGUUGUCGUUGCUCGAUACUUUUUUUUUCAAAAUUUUUUUUUUUUUGGCUUUUUUCACUUUUCUGUUUCCAUGAAAGGCAAAUAAGUGAUGAGUCUGGAGUCCCAAACAAGCUCAAGUGUCAUCUUACAGGGUCUGUUGUCAGAAGUCAGGGGUCCAAGGAAAUGCCUUCCGCGCAACUCUAAGUUUAAUCUAAAACCAUCUGUAGUGGACAGCCCAGGCAGGAGAGCAGAAACCGAUGGUCAGACUAUAUCCUGGGUCUCUGACACCUCUAGAGUUUAUGAUCCUGAGUUGGAUAAUAUUGACACCAGUGGAUUCAGUUGAGUAAGUCUUGACUUGCAUGAUUGAUAAAUCAGAAUUGGUCUCUGGCUUUUUUAGGUUGCUGUGAAUGUUUUGUUACUAUUUUUUUUCUUCAAAACUUGGUCUUAGGAAAGAAACUAGAGCUUUGUGAAGGGUCUUUUCUUCCAAAAAUAAGACUGAAAAAAAAGACUUAUACUGCAGUUGGGUUUCUUUUAAAUACUCAGGGCUGAAAGAUACAGGUUUUUCUUCUUUUUUUUUUUUAUUUCAACAAUGGGGAAAAAUGAAUUCCUUAAAGCAAUGCAGCUGAACAGUUUGUCCUGCUUAAAUGCAUGCUUUUUAAUUUCAAUUAUGUAAGGCACCUUGCAGUGUUAGCAAAAUGUCUCUUUGUUAGCUAUAUGUGUAUCGCCAUGGGAAAUUACCAAACUGUCACAAGACUUGCUGAUUAAAGAAUAGCCUGCCAGAGUGUGUGUGCCUUUGCCCAGUGUGACUCUUAGGUAUUAGGCUAAGGAAAACAGUUUAACAAAAUGUAGUGUGAAUCAUUCCUGAUAAGUGAAUAAAGCAUUGUGACCAAGCAAUCAGAUUAUUCACUUAUCAGGAAUCGACUGUACUGAUAGUUUGCCUGAUUGUUUUUGUUCUUCAUCUCUGUUGUAGUUUCACUACUUUGCUGUGUUCUGUUUUUUCUCUCAUGCUCUUAGCAAAAUCACUGGGAAUAUCCCUUCGUGUGAUCAUGAAACAUGCUACUGAGUAACAAAUAAAAAAAAAUUUUUAAAAUAUAAAAAUGAUAUCUUAACAAAAUCUAUGCACUUGCUAUCAGGAACACAAUACUGGAUGUGUCUUAUAUAUAUUGAACUAUAAUAGUAUUCGAUUUCUUAAAUAAAGCUUAAGAAAGGA